rnacentral:lncRNA from 1 species
GCCUGACAUGUAUAGAUGUGAUCACAACUGAAGAAUUUGGGAGAUACUACACCACGAAAGUUGAGUUGCAAUUGUAGUACAUAAGGGUUAGACUUAGGACAAGUAUGUUGCAAUCAUAGUAUUAUGGCAGUGAUUGCAACCUUGUUAGGCUUGGAUUCCAGUAGAUACUGCUAGGAGAACACACGUCGUUGUGAUCUUAGCACUUGUUAGGUUAGGGAGGGUCUUGGACUCCAUGUUUGGCUAUGAUCGCAUCAAGUGUGCUGAGAUUGUAGAUCUACUAUGCCCAAAUCUCUACACUUGCUGCCUCAGUAUCCUUC